rnacentral:rRNA from 1 species
GAGUUUUAACUGAGCGUUCAGUUACUUGACGUAGACCCGAAACCGGGCGACCUACCCAUGAGCAGGAUGAAGCGAAAGUAAAAUUUCGUGGAGGUCCGAACCCACGAGCGUUGAAAAGCUCGGGGAUGACUUGUGGGUAGCGGUGAAAUUCCAAUCGAGCCCGGAGAUAGCUGGUUCUCCCCGAAAUAGCUUUAGGGCUAGCCUCAAGGUGAGAGAUACGGAGGUAGAGCACUGAAUGUCCUAGGGGGUAUUGCACCUACCGAAGACUAUCAAACUCCGAAUGCCGUCAUCUUAUACUUGGGAGUCAGACUGUGGGUGAUAAGAUUCAUAGUCGAAAGGGCAACAGCCCAGAUCGUCAGCUAAGGUCCCUAAAUGUAAGUUAAGUGGUAAAGGAUGUGGGAUUGCACAGACAACCAGGAUGUUGGCUUAGAAGCAGCCACUCAUUCAAAGAGUGCGUAAUAGCUCACUGGUCGAGUGAUCCUGCGCCGAAGAUUUCCGGGGCUAAAACUUACUACCGAAGCUACGGCAUCAGUAAUGAUGGGUAGGGGAGCUUCCCAUACGGGUUGAAGCAUGACCGUAAGGACAUGUGGACAGUAUGGGAGUGAGAAUGUUGGCAUGAGUAGCGAGAUGUGGGUGAGAAUCCCACAGGCCGUAAACCCAAGGUUUCCAGGGGAAGGUUCGUCCGCCCUGGGUUAGUCGGGACCUAAGCUGAGGCCGAAAGGCGUAGGUGAUGGACAACAGGUUGAUAUUCCUGUAC